UGGCAGCCUGGCUCUGAAAAACACCAAGGGAGGCGUCCAAAGCCAGUGAAGGUCACGCAGAGAUAUUUCCGUCUUCUCUCUCCUCCCACCCAACCUCCAGUGAUAUGGGAUUUCCUGAGCAUGAGGAUAACUACUUCACUUUGAUGCUCACUGUCCCAAGCCUAGGCAGAAGUCUGAAGUUGUUGAUAUGAAACUUCAGAGAAGUCUUCUGGCACUGUUCAUGCACAAGGAUUUGCUUCUACAUUUUAACUUUGAGAUGAAACGCAGACAGACAUUUUCCUCAAGAGACAGAACAAACAGAGCUGACUGGGAGAGAUGUCAACCCAACGGCUUUCAUCUAUUGUGGUGUCCACAACUGGAAUGGCAGUGAAGAUUCCUGUCAAUAAUGUGAGGGGAUUAUGAAUUAAACUGGCUGCAAACACUCCUGAAUCUUCAUCACAGUGUAGCUCAGUCUAC